UGGCAGUCGCUGGCUGAUAUCAGCUAGAGGAAAGUCCAUGCUCGCACCGUCUGUGAUGACGGUAGUGUUUGCGCUGGAUCAAACGAUAAGUCCAGGCAGGCGAAAGCCUGACGGCCGAAGUUAUCCUAAGGUGAUUCACUAAGGAAACACUUCUGUAAAAGUGCCACAGAGACGAGCUGCAUGGGAAACUGUGCAGAUGGAACGGGUAAACCCCGCAAGCGAGAAACCCAAAUUUGGUAGGGGAACCUGGAGGAUUGAACCGAAAAGAACUCCGGGACAUAGCAAUAUGUAGAUAAAUGGCUGCCACUUCCUGAGCGGGAAGUACAGAACAUGGCUUAUA
rnacentral:RNase_P_RNA from 1 species